rnacentral:lncRNA from 1 species
AUUAUUUGAUAUGUUAUGAAGAAAUGUUAUUAAGUAUGAUAAUUUUCACACUAAUUAUAUCAAGGCUGAUCAUAAUAUUGUUUUCAUUAUUUAUUUAUGAAAAUGAUAUUGUGGUAUUCACGUCGGAGGAGGAAGUAAUUAUAGCUAAUGUCGACGCUGACGAAUAGAAGAAUUUGACAGAGAAGUCAGUGCGGUAAAAUCUUUUUAUUUGACGAAUACAAUAAUGUUUUUUUAAAUUGUAUUUUUUUCAUUAAGAGUCCACUUUUAUUAUUUAUCCUGACCAUCUAAAAUGUUAAGACAGGCUCUGUCAAACCUUAUCUCACAGGUUGGUUAUAUGAAUCAAAUUUUGUCAUAAUGUUCUAUCUAAGAUCACACUUUUAUCUAAAUUGUUAAUCUUGAGAUCUUU